UACGUAGGGACCAAGCGUUGUUCGGAUUUACUGGGCGUAAAGGGCGCGUAGGCGGCAAUUCAAGUCAUCUGUGAAAUCUCCGGGCUUAACGUCGGAACGGUCAGAUGAUACUGCUUUGCUAGAGUGCAGGAAGGGGCAAUCGGAAUUCUCGGUGUAGCGGUGAAAUGCGUAGAUAUCGAGAGGAACACCUGAGGUGAAGACGGGUUGCUGGGCUGACACUGACGCUGAAGCGCGAAAGCCAGGGGAGCAAACGGG
rnacentral:rRNA from 1 species